rnacentral:rRNA from 1 species
UACGAGUGGUGCAAGCGUUAUUCGGAAUCAUUGGGCGUAAAGGGUGUGUAGACGGCCUGCUAAGUCAACUGUUAAAUUCCCCGGCCUAACCGGGGUCCAGCAGUAGAUACUGGCGAGCUAGAGGGUGGAAGAGAGAGGCGGAAUUCUCGGAGUAGCGGUAAAAUGCGUAGAUCUCGAGAGGAACACCAAUGGCGAAGGCAGCCUCUUGGUCCACAUCUGACGUUGAGACACGAAAGCGUGGGGAGCAAACAGG